GGGGGUGUCUUGGUUUCGACUGGGAACGGAAGUGUAUGGUGGCAUGGAGGAGAUAAUGGUUGGCUCCGUAAAAAUCCAUUACAAAAUUAAACGGCAAAAAGAAUAAAGCUGUUGCAACUCUGUACGUCGACAAUGUGGUGAGAAAUCUCGAUUUUGUCGGGGUCAUGAGCAAAGCUGCGUAGAUUAACGCGGCGCGCCGGUUCGCGGAAUGCUCGCUACCGCGGAUUCGGUGUCGAUUGGCGAGCGAAAUUCGAAGUAGACCGACAGCCUUCGAGUAGAUCCGAAACAGUCGGUUAGGCUAGGAUGAUUGCGUUUAUUCGAGAAUCGUAGCCGAAUUUCUAAAGUAAACUAAACAUGUAGAGGCCAUAUGUGAACGUUCUUAGGACGCGGGUUCGACUCCCGCCACCUCCACCA
rnacentral:tmRNA from 1 species